CCCUGACGCAGCGACGCCGCGUGCGGGAUGACGGUCUUCGGAUUGUAAACCGCUUUCUCGGGGACGAUAAUGACGGUACCCGAGGAAGAAGCCCCGGCUAACUCCGUGCCAGCAGCCGCGGUAAGACGGAGGGGGCAAGCGUUGUCCGGAAUUACUGGGCGUAAAGCGCUCGUAGGCGGUCGCGUACGGCGGUGGUGAAAUCUCCCGGCUCAACUGGGAGAGGCCCGCCGCAACGGCGUGACUCGAGGGUGGUAGAGGCAGAUGGAAUUCCUGGUGUAGCGGUGAAAUGCGUAGAGAUCAGGAGGAACACCCGUGGCGAAGGCGGUCUGCUGGGCCACACCUGACGCUGAGGAGCGAAAGCUAGGGGAGUGAACGGGAUUAGAUACCCCGGUAAUCCUAGCUGUAAACGAUGGAUACUAGGUGUCAGCGGUAUCGACCCCGCUGGUGCCGCAGCUAACGCGAUAAGUAUCCCGCCUGGGGAGUACGGCCGCAAGGUUG
rnacentral:rRNA from 1 species